GCAGGGGGAGGAGCUACGCGGACAGCGCCGAAGGGGGAGGAGUUACACGGACAGAGCCGCAGAGGGAAGAGCUACACGGACACAGCCGCAGGGGGAGGAGCUACACGUACAGGGCCGCGGAGCUACACUGACUGACUGAGUCCCGAUAUGAGCCAGAGUGAAGUGUGCGGAGCCGGGGGCCCCGAUUGGUGAAGCUGAUCACAUGCUCCUCUGACCCCUCUGCAUCAUGGGAUUCUGCUGCUGGCUGCUAGUGAGAUCAUCAUCCGGGACUUCUCACGGCCUCAGGGGUUGGGUAUAGGAGCUGCGCGCCGUUCCCUUAUGCUGCAAUCCUUAAAUGGCUUCCCGUUACCGGCAACUACAGCAGAACUAAAGCAUUGAAAAGCCCCAUCACACUCACUUUUGUUAAGGCCUGAAGUUGGUUUUACGUGGAAGAAACAGGUCCACACACAGUAACAGUAUUUCUACUUGUUCUUUAUGUGUAACAUAAAGCACAAGCAGGGAUGAGAACCAUCUGAUUUCAGACAGAUAUCUUGCACCAAGGACGCUGAUACCGCUGCCUUCACAAGUGGAUGGAUGGGGGUGGUUCCGCUGCGCAGAUACGUGCAACUGUGAAUACAGGUAACUGCACCUUCUGUGUUAUAGGUGAUGUUACACAGCAGUGUUUCCUAUCUCUGUGAGGAGGUCCUGUGGUCUGGAUUCAGGAACCAGGACCUGCUGUCAUGGAUGACCAACAACAGUGAUAAGAGAGCAGCUGUGUCCCUGGAAACCAGAGCACCCAGAGGAAACUCACGCAAACACUGGGAGAACAUACAAGCUCCACACCGAUGACCUGGAAUUUAACUCCCAACCACAGUGCUGUAAGGAAAGCAUGCUAUCCACUAUGCCAACUGUGCUGCUCCAUACCGCAACUUCAAGUAUUGGGACUUCUGCUUUGACUCUCUCUAAAGUACCCAUCCCACGUUAUAUCUAAAGUGUUUGUGGGAUCGAAAGAGUAAAGCUAGGAUGUGGCGUGUACAAGUAAAAAUGUAGUGUUUCUUUCAGUGUAUAAAGUGGGUAUGGAUGCGUUGGGAAAAGACAGUUAACAUGUUCACUUUAAUGUUUGUAGCUGCCAUCUUCCUCGUCAUGAUUCUCCUGAAGGAAGCUAUGACGGCAUUACAUAUGUUGGAUCAGGGCUGACGUUCCAAGCUUCCCCUGGCGACCUCAAGAAGGAGUGUUUUAGAAUAAACACUUUGACGUGUUGGCACAAUAAGUUAUACGGUAUUCAUAUGAUCUAAAUUAUUUGAUCUGCCUCUGGUCUAAUCCU